rnacentral:rRNA from 1 species
AUGGCCGCUGGCUCCCUAGACACCUGGUCAAGUGCACCUCCAGAACAAGCAGCGAACAUCUUAAAGAAGCUUGUUCUGACCGUGGGCAUUUCUUUGGACCAGCGCCGCAAGAACAUGUCACUUGAGGGGGCUGGUGAUUCUACUCCAGAUGAGCUUUCUACGACCAUCCAGGUCCAGGACGACUCUCAUGGUGGCAAGAAGCACUUCGUUGAAGUUGUGAAGGCUAUAGAUGACGUGAAUGCGUACAAGGUAUACGACAAGCUCCGUGUUGAGAGGAUGAACUGGCACCAGUUAGGAGCUUGGAUGAAGAUGGCUACCCGCAUGGAGAAAGAGGAGAAGAAGUGA